rnacentral:rRNA from 1 species
GAUGAACGCUAGCGGCAGGCCUAACACAUGCAAGUCGAGGGAGAAGCCCUUUCGGGGGCAGAAACCGGCGCACGGGUGCGUAACGCGUAUGCAACCUACCUUUCACAGGGGGAUAGCCCGAAGAAAUUUGGAUUAAUACCCCAUAAUAUUGUUGGAUGGCAUCAUUUGGCAAUUAAAGCUACGACGGUGGAAGAUGGGCAUGCGUCCUAUUAGCUAGUUGGAGUGGUAACAGCACCCCAAGGCUACGAUAGGUAGGGGUCCUGAGAGGGAGAUCCCCCACACUGGUACUGAGACAGGGACCAGACUCCUACGGGAGGCAGCAGUGAGGAAUAUUGGUCAAUGGUCGGAAGACUGAACCAGCCAUGCCGCGUGCAGGAAGAAUGCCUUAUGGGUUGUAAACUGCUUUUAUAUGGGAAGAAUAAGGUGUACG